rnacentral:rRNA from 1 species
UACAGAGGGUGCGAGCGUUAAUCGGAAUUACUGGGCGUAAAGAGCUCGUAGGUGGUUUGUCGCGUUGUUCGUGAAAACCGGGGGCUUAACCCUCGGCGUGCGGGCGAUACGGGCAGACUUGAGUACUGCAGGGGAGACUGGAAUUCCUGGUGUAGCGGUGGAAUGCGCAGAUAUCAGGAGGAACACCAAUAGCGAAGGCAGCUCGCUGGGACGGUAUUGACGCUGAGGCGCGAAAGCGUGGGGAGCAAACAGG